rnacentral:tRNA from 1 species
GGGCCGGUAGCUCAGCUCGGUAGAGCGAGGAGUAAAGGAACUCCCUCUAAGCGGGCUCUUAACCCGUAGGUCCCGGGUUCAAAUCCCGGCCGGCCCG